rnacentral:lncRNA from 1 species
GUGGGGCGCCUGGGUGGCGCAGUCGGUUAAGCGUCCGACUUCAGCCAGGUCACGAUCUCGCGGUCCGUGAGUUCGAGCCCCGCGUCGGGCUCUGGGCUGAUGGCUCGGAGCCUGGAGCCUGUUUCCGAUUCUGUGUCUCCCUCUCUCUCUGCCCCUCGCCCGCUCAUGCUCUGUCUCUCUCUGUCCCAAAAAUAAAUAAACGUUGAAAAAAAAAUUAAAAAAAAAAAAAAGAAAGAUGUCAAGCCUACAGACGAGAAAAAAAGAUUGAAUUAUGGGUAGGCAGAUGAACCAAGUAGAAAUCCAGCAGUUGGAAUGUAUUAUAAAAGCAAAUAAUAAGAAAUCACUCAAGAAAUAGAACACUUAAAAAUGUUUCUCAGUAUGGUAUAAAAGGGAGAUGGAGAGUUUCUCUUUGCAUCAACAGGAAUUGGGAAAACAUAACUGUCAGAAGAUUAAGUGUUACUUGUGAGUGUUUAGAAAUAUGAUGAAAAUAGAUUAGGUAAUUACAGAAAAUGUCCUUCAGUUGCUUCCCCUGUGUAUCACAAAAAUCAGUUUGAUACUCCUUUUUUUCUUUUUUUUAGUUUUACAAAUUCAGGGCCUUCUUCUCUCAGAGCUGUGAUGGCCAAAGAAGGGAUGCUACCAGAAGUUUGUUGGUCCAUGAGUCUAUCUCCGAUAUUCUCCACCCAGGAUAUACUGCACACUACUGAAGAUUAGAGUUUUUAAAGUCAGACUGGUAAGUCACACGCCAUAUAUAAAGAAAAUAAGAUAGCAUUGCCAAAGGGCUGUGCAAAGCUUUGUAUCAAUUUAUAUUCUUACUGCUUCUUUACUGCAACUAUUGCCACACGAACUCAACAGCAC